rnacentral:pre_miRNA from 1 species
GACAUACUCCCUCCGUUCGGAAUUACUUGUCGCAGAAAUGGAUGUAUCUAGACGUAUUUUAAUUCUAGAUACAUCUAUUUCCGAGACAAGUAAUUCCAAACGGAGAGAGUAUUUC